CUGCUUGUCCCGUUUCAUUCACUCCUUCAUCACCCAGAGGACUAGAACAGAGCAACGAGCCAGCCUUUCUGCGCGCCAAGAUGAAUACGAUGUUUCUAGUUAAACUGGGCGUUCUCCUGCUGGCUGUGUGUCUCAUGUCAUUACAGGUGGCCCAGGCCAAUAACUCGACAACCAACACGACCAAUAACGGCUGCGGUAGGACCGACGCCUCCGCCCUUCUUCUCCCGCUGGCACUUGCCGCCUCUGUCCUCUACGGCUGGUCCUAAUGACCGGACUGAUGGCUCCUGACACACACCGCCAAUACGGCUGGACUAGCUCACAAAUUUAAAAAUCCUUACCCCGAAAACACACUUCUGGAUUUCCUGCAUCUUCUAUUAAAUUCGCUCCUUUCUCGUGUGAGUGUCCGGACUUAAACUCACCAACCGGGGACUCGCACUGCAGUCCGCUCUCUCUGCUGAGGCGCUCUACGGGAGAUGGCGUCUACAACUGGCUUGCCCACUGAAUCUGCUUAUGAGCCUACCAGCCAUCAUUGGCCCUGAAGUGAUUGUAAACAAUUUAGAAACGUUUUGUAUUCUGAAAAUGUGACGAUUAGUGCUUUUUGAUCUUGAAUGUGUAAUAAAGCUUUAGUGACAAAAUA